GGAAAACAGAUGGAGAGAAUCAGAUCAUAACCAACUCCUUCCUCCUCUUUGUUUACGACACUAUUUUAAAUUAUAGAAUUCGGGGCUGCUUUAUAAUGUGAAUAGGAAACUGCAUUCAUCUAGGUCUGAUAGUGUAAAAUCAGAGCAUCAGUAUUUAUGGUAUGUCUGCACCUUUAUUCCUAUGCUUGACUAUUAGCAAUAUUACAUGUAUAUUAUAUAUCUAAAGUUAUACCAAGCACCUUUAAAGAAAUCAGAGCGCGUGCUCCGUGCAGUCCCCAUAUCCCCAUACCCACAUCCUUACAUCCCCAUACCCCUGCAUCCCUAUAUCCUGACAUCCCUACAUCCCUAUAUCACCACAUCCCUACACCCCUAUAUUGCCAUACCUCCACCUCCCUGUAUCCUCAUAUCCCCACAUCUCCAUAUCUCCAUAUCCCCGCAUCCCCACCUCCCAGCAGAGGAGGGCUGUAGGACCCUCCUCCUCCCAUCCGUGUCCCAGCAGCAUUGGGUUGCCAUGCCCAUCUUGCUGUGGGGCGCACGUGGGCUGGUGGCCACACGGAGCCACCGGAGCAGGGACUGAUGCCUUUCCCGGUCGUUUUCCUGCUAAGCUUUUGUUGGGAUUGCUUAUAUUUACAGAAAUAACUUGCUGUGAGCGGAGAAGGGUGUAUGGCCCAUUAACCAACCGAAAACCCAGAGCCUCCGCCGGCUGUAAAUCCUGAACACAGCGCGGAGAGCUCACGGCCGUCUGGGGCUCCAACUGCUGUUUCGAAGUGUUCCUGCUGUAUAGAUGUGUCACGUUGUCAGCCCAGGGCUCGGGGCUGCCCCAAAGCCGGGGCUGUCGGAGCUCCGCGCACCGAGCGGGCACUGCCAUGAGUUUCUUCCACUGUUAUAGAAGCGUUUUGCACACGACGGUUGGUUUUUAUGUUUAAAAAAAAAAAAAAAAAGAAAGAAAGAAAGAAAAAGAAAUAAUAAUAAAAAAUAAUAAUAAAAAAAUAAUAAAUAUAUAUAUAUAUUAAAAAAAAACAAAAAACAAAAACAAAAACAAAAGCCAAACCUCGCAAUACUAUUUUUAGCAGACAGAAUAAAUAAGCGAACAAAUACGGAAUUAAAGGAACGAAUAACCGGGUGGAAAAACGACCCCGUCGGGGAGGUUCUGAGCCGUCCUUCGGGGCGGAGGGCGUCGGGUUGGGACGGAGCUUUGAGCCUUCGGGUGCUUUGGGGGAAGGCAAAGCGAAGGGCUGAGCGGUGCCGUUGUGUGGGAGCGGCUCCGGCGCUGUGCGCAGUACUGUGACUCCACGACUGUUAUCCCUCUGUGUGCUGUAGGAGCGCCCCGCAGCACCUCUGGGCUCUGCAUCUCAGCCACGGACGAUGCUCGCUUCGUUUUGUUUUUUACUUUGAUCGCGCAUUAUUCACUGGUAUUUAUGUGCUCUUUACUCUGUGUAGUUAUGACUGUUAUUUUGUAGCCACGGCUGAUGCCAUAUAGAGGUAACUAAAACGAGAAAUAAAAGGUUAAGGACACCCCCACCCCACCCCCCCGCCCCCCCCCAUUGGAACUGUGCUCACAGCUGUUUUCAGACGACGGAAAAUCCAUUUAGGAGGAACGAAUUCGCGGCCGGUGCGGCCAUUCAUUGUACGACGCUUUGUAAAGUUCACAUUUACAGAAUAAUAAAGGAGAUGAUGAUUGCA